rnacentral:rRNA from 1 species
AUUGAACGCUGGCGGAAUGCUUUACACAUGCAAGUCGAGCGGCAGCGCGGGGCAACCUGGCGGCGAGCGGCGAACGGGUGAGUAAUGCAUCGGAACAUGUCCAUGUCGUGGGGGAGUAGCCCGGCGAAGACCGGAUUAAUACCGCAUACGCCCGAGAGGGGAAAGGUGGGGACCGGCAAGGCCUCACGCGAUUGGGUUGGCCGAUGUCCGAUUAGCUAGUUGGCGGGGUAAGAGCCCACCAAGGCGAUGAUCGGUAGCUGGUCUGAGAGGAUGAUCAGCCACACUGGGACUGAGACACGGCCCAGACUCCUACGGGAGGCAGCAGUGGGGAAUUUUGGACAAUGGGGGCAACCCUGAUCCAGCCAUUCCGCGUGAGUGAAGAAGG